rnacentral:misc_RNA from 1 species
GUUCCACCACCAACGUCAGGAGCUGCACCAUCAUCAUGAGAAAAUAAGAACACAAGUAACCAUAGAUCAUACAAUUAAUAUCAAAACUCUCUUGGGUAUGGCAAAUACCAUUGCUCAACAAUAAAUGAAAAGACCACAACUUUGAACAGCAACAAAGCUUUAGAAAAUCAGCAUGUUUGAUGUAUAUAAAUAUCAAAUCUAACUAAAGGACCAUAUCUUGGAAGGGGUAACAUAGCACAUAUCACUGGAACUCCACUUGAAGAAAUGUCUCAUUUAAUUAUAUCAAACUCAAGGAAAAAACUUCUGGAGUUAUCAACUAGAUAUCAGAGUUGCAUAAGCAUUAAAUCUGGACUUAAUUCCAAUAAGUAAACUUCAUGUGAAUCCACCAGAAUUCAAGUGCUGUGCUUGGACAAGCAAACAGUGAGGACAAAGGCCAUAAACAGAGAGGGUAUCCCUACCUAAACAAAAAUCUUUGGCAGUAAUGCGGACUCCCUUAAUUUUGAAGUUAACCAAAAGUUAUCACGGC